CUACGGGGGGCUGCAGUGGGGAAUAUUGCACAAUGGGGGGAACCCUGAUGCAGCAACGCCGCGUGGAGGAUGACACUUUUCGGAGCGUAAACUCCUUUUAUAUAGGAAGAAGAUGACGGUACUAUAUGAAUAAGCGCCGGCUAACUCCGUGCCAGCAGCCGCGGUAAUACGGAGGGCGCAAGCGUUACUCGGAAUCACUGGGCGUAAAGAGCGUGUAGGCGGAUUAAAAAGUCAGAAGUGAAAUCCUAUAGCUUAACUAUAGAACUGCUUCUGAAACUCUUAAUCUAGAAUAUGGGAGAGGUAGAUGGAAUUUCUGGUGUAGGGGUAAAAUCCGUAGAGAUCAGAAGGAAUACCGAUUGCGAAGGCGAUCUACUAGAACAUUAUUGACGCUGAGACGCGAAAGCGUGGGGAGCAAACAGGAUUAGAUACCCCCGUAGUC
rnacentral:rRNA from 1 species